rnacentral:rRNA from 1 species
AUGACGCUCGGCGGUGACGAACCUGCAGAACCAGCUCGACGAGCUCCGCACCCAGGUGGGGCGCAUCGCCCUCCACCCUGCGCUAGCAGAUCCUCGAGCGCGGAAGCGGAUUCCGCACGAGAAGAUGUGGGUCUUCGGCAAGCGGCGCGUACUGGGGAGGAGCCCCCAGUGGCCGAUCUGGGGCACCACGGGCCAAGUGGCCACGGCGUCAUCAACAACUCUAGGGGCAUGGUACACGGGGUGGUCAUCACCCUGGCACCGCCUCCGGCCAAGGGUGCAUUCUAUCCUCCUAUCGUCAAUUCCAGUUCCCACAGCCUAGAGUUGAGUUGUGUUCCAGAGGACUAG